rnacentral:rRNA from 1 species
AUACGGAGGGGGCUAGCGUUGUUCGGAUUUACUGGGCGUAAAGCGCGCGUAGGCGGUAUAUCAAGUUAGGCGUGAAAGCCCCGGGCUCAACCCGGGAACUGCGCUUAUUACUGAUAAACUAGAGUCCGGGAGAGGGUGGCGGAAUUCCCAGUGUAGAGGUGAAAUUCGUAGAUAUUGGGAAGAACACCAGUUGCGAAGGCGGCCACCUGGACCGGUACUGACGCUGGGGUGCGAAAGCGUGGGGAGCAAACAGGAUUAGAAACCCCGGUAGUCC